GGAUGUCAGGGCAAUCUGGUUGCGACAUCUGUCACCCCAUUGAUUGCCAGGGUUGAUUCGGCUGAUCUGGCUGGCUAGGCGGGUGUCCCCUUCCUCCCUCACCGCUCCAUGUGCGUCCCUCCCGAAGCCGCAUGCUCGGUCAAAGAGGCCGACCAUCCCUGAUAGAGGAGGACCGGUCUUUGGUCAAGGGUAUACGAGAAGCUGCGCUCCCCUGCUAAAACCUCCAAACAAGCUCUCAAGUGUCC
rnacentral:lncRNA from 1 species